GGGUCAGUAGGUUGGUCGUGCCACCGGUACGUACUGGUCUCACUGAUUCCUCCUUCCUGAAGAACCGUAAUGCCAUUAAUUUGGUGUUGCGGGGAAACAGGACUGUUACUUUGAAAAAAUUAGAGUGUUUAAAGCAGGCUAACGCUUGAAUACAUUAGCAUGGAAUAAUGAAAUAGGACGAUCGAUCCUAUUUUGUCGGUUUCUAGGAUUGACGUA
rnacentral:rRNA from 1 species